GAACGCGCUGCCAAGCCCGUAGACACGUGCUUUAUUUUAAAACAGGACUAGUGUCCUUGAUGCCAACAGGACCUUGGCACUUGCUUAAAGUUAAGCAUGUGUUUAUGUGCGUUGCUGGACUGGGCCAUGAAUAAAAAUAAUUAUGUAUCAUGGGGGAUUUCAGCCUCAGACGUAUUCCAACCAUGUGAGCUGCAAUGGAGCCGGCUCUUACACCAGUCUGAUUGCCCAGAGAUACAGCGAGGAGGCCAGUGCCAGAGACACAGAUGGAGUGGAGACGGGAGGGACAAUGAACCAGAGCUUCAGCUAGUCAAGAGCUGCAAAAAAGGUUCCUUCGCGCUACUUGAGAGCUUCUGCUGUGCAGCAUCUGGAACUAAUCGACAGGACCUAAAACACUUUGCUUAAUUGGUACAGCUAAGCCGGACUCAAGUUUCACUACAUAAACUGGGGUCCGAAAGGCAGUUCUUUGGGAACCAACUCCAGGACACAGCCCCAAAGAGCAGAGCUGCCAGACCUCAACACUCUGCCAAUGACAUUGUGCAGAAACUGGAGUCUCCCAGAUGGACCUGAUCCUGCC